ensembl:lncRNA
UUUUUUUUUUUUUUGGUCACAAUGUACUGAUAACUGACAAAUAAAACUUAAUGUCACGUUAUCAUGAUGCAAAUAAAGAUAUACCGUAUACUUAGAUAAAUGUCACACUUGAGACAUUGUCUAUCAUCUCUCACCACUAGCUGGCACCAUAGCUUUAAAAAUGUAGUGAUGUAUCGGGUUUAUAUCUUACUAAUUAACAAGCCAGCUACCCAAUUUUUAACAGAAAACAAUUACUCAAAGCAAACAAGAAAUAUUUGGGGCUAUAAACUAAAAUGAGUCUGAAAGCAAUAUUCUCAAUGAUGACUGGUACGAUACAUCCUGCAAAGGGAAAUGGAUAAUAGUUAACAGACUCAGGGGGUGUUUUUAUUACAUGAAAAUAAACGGUACUGUGCACAAAUGGGAGAGUCUGAUAUUUUUGCUGCUGGCUGGGAGACCGUAGGGGUCAAUAUCUUGGGUUAUGAAGAGGAUGAACCCCAAUAAACUGCCUCCCUUACUGGGCUUUUCAUUCCAAAUUAACUCAGAGGCCACUUCAGGUUCACUCCCAAAGAAGCAGCUUUAUUGCACCAGCCAAUAAAUUUCACAGAGUCUGUCUCCUUCACUGGCUUCCCUUUUCUCAUUAGAGCCUGCUGCUUUCAUUGUCUGCUGGCUGGAUACAGAUGCCCUAAGAGGCAGGGCCCUGGUUUCCAUUCUCUGACUGCAGUGGUUCUAACAUUGCAAUCUACUUCACUGCCAUGUUCUGCUCCAAUUCUUUCAGACCAGCUGCUGUGGGCUGACCCGACACAUGCACUGCGACAUGAACGCACGCAUCCAGGCCCACACAAAGGUCAAAGCAGGGACUACAGGCCACUCAUUUACCACUCAGCCUCAGAAAAAGCCAAAAGAAUUUCACGCAACUGUUCCAAACUGUCUAUGAUAUUUACAUUUAUUUACAGGUUGGACCGAUAAACGGUCACCUAAUAUCAAUAACAGAGCAUUGAUAAGUUACAAAUAUGUAAUUUUUAUGGCAAAUCUCUCAGUUUUGCUCUGAAUAGAAGAAAUACUUCCAUAAUGUAACAAAAUCUUUCCAAAAAGGAAACAAACAUUUUCUACUAUGGUACAGGUUCUGUGCAGCUGUUAAUCAAAUCAAAACUCACUGUGAAAGUUAGGAUAUACUGGCAAGUACAUCAGUAUCGGUAAUGGCAGUCACCUGAAGAGAACCCUGCUAUUCUGACCUUGGAAUGAUUAAACAGGAUAGGUCAUAAAGUUACAUGUAUUCAUUUUACAAUCCUCCAUAGGACCAGAAAGAAGAGAAUGUACAUUUUGAAGAAGAGUGUGCAAAUUCUGCAGUCAGUACAGUAAAAUAGGUAGUUGAUAGUGCUUUCCCAAUAACAACCACAAAAAAACUAUCACACAUUAACUUAUACUGUUAGCUAUGUAGGAAAAGAAGCAUUAUAAUUCUUACUCUAAAUAGGUCUCGUCCUGCAUAAUUCUAUAAUGACAUUUUUGUCCUACCUAACAGAGAAAUGCAGAACUUUGUCUACAUCUUCAUUAUGAUCUACAGUGGCCAGAUUCUGCCCUAAGCAUACUCCAGCAGCACUGCCAGGCUGGUCUGCAGCCUGCUGUAAGCACUGCAGCUCCAUGCAGCUGAAGAGCAGGCAAGAGGCAGCUCCCACCCCCAGUGCUGAGCAGAGUGCAGAUGCAGACUGCACUCGUGUUUCCACGGUAAUACUGACGUCAUGGCAGUGCUGCUGUCUAAAAUGACACAAUCAGUUCUAACAGAUUGACUCUGGAUGGGUUUGAGUUAAUAAACACAAUUGUAACAUACAUUCAAACUGGUAUGACACAAAUACUAAUCUAACAAAAGAAAAAGAAAAACAAUCAAACAAAAGACUGGAAAGAAAGAGAAGAAAUCCACCUAUAACAAAUUCUUUCUACAUGAUGUUUUAAUGAAUUUCAUUCUUCACUGAUAGAGAUAUUUUUUGUUUUGCAAAGACUUACUCCAAAACUAAUUUUAUCUUGGAAGAAAAAAUAUAAUCUCAUAUUUCUGUUUGGCAAGUAACACUUGCAAAGUUCCUUCUGUAGCCAAACGUUUUGAGUCUUUGUAUUGUGUAACAAAAACUGUCAAUAAACAACAAAUUAGUUCUCCCUAUUUUUUUACAAAGUCAUUGAAGUUGACACCUUUUUGCCAUAUACGCUCCACAGGAUAAACACUGCCAAUGCCAACUAAUCCUAAUGUUAGGAAUGUGAUGGGUUUGCCAUUUUCCGAAGUUAUUUUGAGUUCAUUUUGGUAGUGUUGAAAAUAGUCCGCAGGGCAGCCCCUUGUAACUGAGUCAAUUCCACAGAAUUUAGGCCAGGAGGCAAUGGGGACAGAGGAUCAUAAAUUGGAGAAAACCUCGCCUUAGUGAAUGCAGCAGCCUGAAGAAGCCUGUAACGGCUGCAGUAUAAUAAAGAAGUGUUAGAGUUAAUCCACUGCUAUCUGUCUUUAUUUUGCUAACCCAGUCGAGUGGACACCACAGCAUUGAGACUACAUUAAUCAAAAUUUGGAAUGACCUGCUUUUCAUUGCAAACUGCAGUUAUCUUUCUUUACUGAUUGGCCUUGACCUGUCAGCUGCAUUUGGUACUGCUGACCCUAGGGGUUCUCUCCAAGAGCCUAGAGUACUACGAAAGGUUGUCUGACUCUGUUCUUGCUCAGUUUAAUUCAUAUUCUACUCAACAUGCCCAUUUUAUUUCCAGUAGAAAUUGUUCAUUUAAUUGCAUUGUAAGUUUUAUGGGGUAUGCCCCAGGCUGCAUUCUUUAUGCCAAGCUUCUGAGUAUUUAUAUGUGGAAUGGUGGGGGGCAGGGGGAACGACUCACUCACAAAGCUAGACCAGGCUUCAUAUUAGCAGUAAUUUUCACUGCUUUAAAUUCUCUACAAAGCUGUUUGCAGAAGAAAACAAAAUGUAUAUAUCAUCACUUGAGGUUGCUUUGACAAAUGCAUUGUUUUUAACUGAAUACUUUCAAGACAGGUUCAUCCUCCUUUGAGCAAUUUAGCAACCUUUCUUAAAUGCCCAUUUAUAUUAUGCUGGUAAGAAACCUAUCUUACAACUUUGUAUCUAACCAACCUCAAAGGUCAUUGCAUUCAGCCUUUGUACUACAAACCCAAAGAGUUCUUACUCAAUAAUUCAGUAUAUUUUCAAAUAAUACUAUUUUAGUGAUGUCAAAUGUAUUUAAUGUCUUCCCUUGCAAAAGGGGUUCAGGUUUGAUAUCCCCAAUCCUGAUUCCUCCCGAAGAAAUAAAGAAAUGGUGUAGUAUUGCAUAUAUCUACCUUCUUUGGGGUGUUUGCCAAAACACAAGACUUUAAAUCUGAUACUGCUUAAUCUAUUCAAUUACCUGAUCUAUGUAUUAGGAAAUGGUUUCAAAUAUUAUGCCAUCCAAAACCCACCACUGUUAUUAGUGAAAGGCAAAUUGUACUCUUACAAGUAAGAUUUAGUUUGCCACUGUCAAAAUUAAGAGAAAUAUUAUAUGACUUAGCAAUGUAAUAUCAAACUAACCACAUAGGUUAAAUUAAAUCUUUGUUCAUCUUGAAUAAAAAGAUUACUUCAACAAAUAGGAUUGAAGUUAUGCUUCAAAAUGUUUUAAUUUGCUAUAGAAAAGAUAUACUAAUCAGUAGCAUCAUUUUUAUGAAGCUGAAAAAUUUAGGUCCAUAAUUCAGGAAUAAUCUGGAUACCGGUAAUCUAAUAAUUUUUUUAAAAGAAUGAUUCCUUCUUUCCCAAGGACCAGCUACAGGGGAAUGUUGUGCAAUUAUAAUCAUUACUUAUUAAUAUUUAAUUAAAUUUACUUUGUGUUAUAUCAGCCAUCUUAUUUUAAAACAAAAAGUAGAGACUGAAAAAAAACAUUAAUUAUAAAUCUAAAAAUAAAAUUAUCAUAAAUUUAAAAUUUUUUACAACAUAUUUUUUUCAAAAUAGAUGAUUGCAAUAAAAAUGGAAGGGAAUCAAGACAGAAAAACAAAAGGAAGAUACAAAAAGAGCAAGGCUGCAGUUCAAUCAUGAGUAAAAACAAAGUAAAAGACAAUGUCUAUCAAGAGAUCCGAAAACAAACCUGGAAACAAAACACCUGCAGAUGGUGAAAAAACGCAGCUUGGAAUUAAAAUUUUGUGAACCUGGACAUAUGACUAGAAAAGUAAAUGAAACCCUUGGUAGAAAUCUUUUAGUCUAUCAAUAUAAAUAGAUUUGAGCAAACUCUGGAUGGACUCUGCUGUUCAUUCUACUAUUCUUUGAUCUGAUUUUUUAUUCAUUCUAACUGAAUUAAUACCAAUUACCUUAUCUGUAAGUACAGUCACAUAGAAGUCCAUAGUCUGAAAUUCACAAAGCACUUACAGAGCAAGACAAAGGGGUUUAUGCAUUUCCAUAACUUGCUCCAAUUAAGUUCAUCAAGACCAUUCUUUCUGGUAUAAUUUUCCUCUGCUAUCUGUUAUUUUUAAGAACAACAGGAAAAUAAAGAAACAAAAUAACAUAUUCUUUGUGAUUAACUAGGAGCCAAUUACUUUCUUCCUUGCCAUGCCUUACCUUGACUUUCUUUCCCUGAACAAAUACUGUUGAGAAGUAAUUGCUAGGGCAGUAUUGCCAAACUAAUAAAGCAAACUGCAUUAAUAAUAUUCAGCUUAAAUACAAUUGUAGCAAACAUAUUACAAAAAAGGAAAAACAUACACACUUUCCACUUUUGAUGAAUGCCACAAAUUAUUCAUAACAACAUGUGGCACCAGAAUAGAAAUGAGCCAACAGCUGCAGAGAUUGAAGUCAUUUGCACAAUGCCUGUUGUCUGGUACCUCCCCUGCUGGAAGUUACCAUCUUCAGAACACAGUGAGGAGAGGGGAGUGUGGGCCUACACUUCAGCUGCUCCCAUUCACAGUCGAAUAUGUUAAAUCAUGGAGUGCAGGAGUCAAUUACAAUAGAAGUCAUAACCAAUCUGCCAGUAGUAAAAAAACAAACAGGCAAACCCUCAAAAAAAACCCCAAACAAACAAAAAACACCCCCACACCCAAAAAAUAUUCAAACUCAGCACUAUGAAAGCAGCAUUUUGCCAAAUUUUAUUAGAAACAUAGAUUCCAGCCACUGGAAAUAACAAUAAACCAUUAUAUAUUAGUUGAAUUUUUCAAAAUAUUCAUAAUUCUAUGUGUAUACUGUGUGUAUUUAUAACCCAAUUUCUCUCAGAAUGGUUAAAAUGCAGGUAGUUCUCUUCCUAUGUCAUCUCACCUAGACUGUGAACUUAGAAGGCUGCAGUCCUAGAGCAUUAUCUAGCAAAUUUCCUAUCAGUUCCUAGCAGUCCUUAGUGAGAGCAGGAACAUUCACAGAGCUGUCAGAAGAGAAGUUGUGAUCAGGAGACUGUCAGGAAGGUUUGAGACAAUUUUGGCAAGUCUGAGGAGACCUUCAGCUCUGGUGGGUGUCAUUCAGUGGUAAAUAAUUGGGUUCUGCCACACUAAUACAAUUUCUGUAAGGCAGGCAACAAAGCAGCACGGCCCCUGCUAUGAGGAACCGAAGGUUUAUUGGAGGUUAUCAAGCUGAGAUAAUAUUUAGCAGCAAAUAGUGGGGACAAGUGUGCUCCAAAAGAGACUCCAUUUUAUACCAAAGUAUUUCUUUCUCCUCAAUACCUUCCAGCAAGAAUUAAUUCAACAACAAUUGUUUUGGUCCAGUAAUCAUCUUUCAUUAGAGAAAAGAAGCUUGCUACUGCAUAUCUGUAUAGAAGUCUUUCUAGAACAGACAAAAAUUUAUGUUUUAUAUUUACUGGAAUACCACUAAAAUAAAACCCUAAUAAUGGGAUGAAACUUGCAAAGACAUUUUUCAGCUUACAUACUGCAAAUUAUCUCAGCAUCCUAAGACUAAAAUGCAUGUAAACCACUUGGAAACAUACGAACUUGGAACCUCAGAAACUGACUUGACUUCACAGGAGAAAAGAACAAACAAACCAAAAAAAAAAAAAAAAAAAAA